rnacentral:rRNA from 1 species
GACGAACGCUGGCGGCGUGCCUAAUACAUGCAAGUUGAGCGCUGAAGGUUGGUACUUGUACCGACUGGAUGAGCAGCGAACGGGUGAGUAACGCGUGGGGAAUCUGCCUUUGAGCGGGGGACAACAUUUGGAAACGAAUGCUAAUACCGCAUAAAAACUUUAAACACAAGUUUUAAGUUUGAAAGAUGCAAUUGCAUCACUCAAAGAUGAUCCCGCGUUGUAUUAGCUAGUUGGUGAGGUAAAGGCUCACCAAGGCGAUGAUACAUAGCCGACCUGAGAGGGUGAUCGGCCACAUUGGGACUGACACGGCCCAAACUCCUACGGGAGGCAGCAGUAGGGAAUCUUCGGCAAUGGACGAAAGUCUGACCGAGCAACGCCGCGUGAGUGAAGAAGGGUUUCGGAUCGUAAAACUCUGUUGGUAGAGAAGAACGUUGGUGAGAGUGGAAAGCUCAUCAAGUGACGGUAACUACCCAGAAAGGGACGGCUAACUACGUG